UGCUUUUAUCAUAUUAUACUAAAUAUAUAACAUAAGUAUAUAACAAAGGAGUUCUACAUAUAUUAUAUUAUUAGUAGAUAAAGCAUUUCAUGUUUGAAUUUUAAUAAUUUCUUUUUUUGAUUUUUUGCUCUUCCAAGGUAUGAGAUUCUUGAAACCCUCGUACAUGGAAGCCCUAAAACGAAACUUACCCAAAUGUUAGGGUGAGAGAAGCCAGACAAGUUACCAUUUCUUUCAAGUCCAGCAUCAGUUCCACAAUCUGCUGAAAUGACCAAAUUACCCCUACCGACACCAUUUUCUUUCGUAAUACGUCGUUUGACAAACCAUUGUUGCCACCAAUAAGAACCUCUUCUAGACACAUUAUUGUUAGUACUAUCAUCGUGUUUAUAAAGAACCAAAGUACCAAGUUGCCCUCUCUCAUGAAGGACAUUUAGUUUAGGGGAGGAGGGUAUUUUGGUCAUUUUAUCCAAAUAGUAAAACCUAGGAGGUGGCUCUAAGAAUUUAGGUUGAUCAUUGAAAGAAAUAAUAAUAUCAGUACAAUAAGGUCUAGGUUUACCAGGAUGUAAUUCCCACUUAAAAGGAACAGAAGCUAAACAAGUGUGAAUUGGUGGUGUUAAUACACCUGAUGAUGAUGAAUAUUGUUGAUGAUGAGAUGAAUAUUUCAAUUUCAUGGAUUGUGGUGUUAAAAAUAGAGGAAGUUUUGUGGUGGAAUUACUUUGCUCUAUAGACAUAAUGGGGUGAUACUAAUCUUAUUUUUGUUUAAAGAGUGGACAAUAGAAAUAAUUAUUUGUAUACACAUAUAGAAGAUGAAAAUGAAGAACCAACUUUGGUGUACUAUUGAUGGUUUUGUUCACGGGGGAAAAAAGGACACCUUUACAUCACUUCACUUAGAAA
rnacentral:misc_RNA from 1 species